GACUGGAUUUGACAGCGGGCAGAUAGGAUAUGUAAGCAUGCAGUGCAUUGAUUGUUGGCACUUUAAUCAUAAUGGUCAAAAAAUUAUCUGGCGAAAAUAAUUACGCUCUCGCUGCUUAAUUGAAGUAUAGUAGAUUCGGCUUUAUCCCGAUGCAAGGCGUUGGGACGAGACAUCACCCAGAAGCUGUUGUUCCGAAGCGUACUGAUAAGGUGGUGCAGCAAAUCGGAAAUAGUCAGAGAUGGCCUCGCAUCGAUGAUGAAACUCUUAGAGGAUAGGUCAUGGUUUAGUUGCUCUUUCCUGUACUGUGGCUGAAUUCUUGGAAGAGAUAAGCAUGUAGAAAACAUCUUCUUUCCUCGUUUGGACGAGGGUUCGAUUCCCUCCUGGUCCACU
rnacentral:tmRNA from 1 species